UCCCUGGUAGCGGGGGAUAACCUCUCGAAAGAGAGGCUAAUACCGCAUACGACCUACGGGUGAAAGAGGGGGAUCGCAAGACCUCUCACUAUUGGAGCGGCCGAUGUCGGAUUAGCUAGUUGGCGGGGUAACGGCCCACCAAGGCGACGAUCAGUAGCUGGUCUGAGAGGAUGAUCAGCCACAUUGGGACUGAGACACGGCCCAA
rnacentral:rRNA from 1 species